rnacentral:rRNA from 1 species
UCGAGGGGCAGCAUGUCCAGCAAUGGAUGAUGGCGACCGGCGUAAGGGUGCGUAACGCGUGAGCAACAUGCCCUAUACAGGAGGAUACUCCGGGGAAACCCGGUCUAAUACUCCAUAGUAUUAUUGAGAGGCAUCUCUUAAUAAUUAAAGCUUCGGUGGUAUAGGACUGGCUCGCGUGACAUUAGCCAGAUGGUGAGGUAACGGCUCACCAUAGCAACGAUGUCUAGGGGUUUUGAGAGGAAGGCCCCCCACACUGGGACUGAGACACGGCCCAGACUCCUACGGGAGGCAGCAGUGAGGAAUAUUGGACAAUGGAUGGAAAUCUGAUCCAGUCAUGCCGCGUGCAGGAAGACUGCCUUAUGGGUUGUAAACUGCUUUUAUACGGGAGCAAUAAGGGUUACGUGUAACCUGAUGAGAGUACUGUAUGAAUAAGGAUCGGCUAACUCCGUGCCAGCAGCCGCGGUAAUACGGAGGAUCCGAGCGUUAUCCGGAAUUAUUGGGUUUAAAGGGUGCGUAGGCGGCUAUUUAAGUCAGCGGUGAAAUUUU